CCUACGGGAGGCAGCAGUGAGGAAUAUUGGUCAAUGGACGCAAGUCUGAACCAGCCAUGCCGCGUGCAGGAAGACGGCUCUAUGAGUUGUAAACUGCUUUUGUACGAGGGUAAACUCAGAUACGUGUAUCUGUCUGCACGUAUCGUACGACUAAGGAUCGGCUAACUCCGUGCCAGCAGCCGCGGUAAUACGGAGGAUUCAAGCGUUAUCCGUAUUUAUUGGGUUUAAAGGGUGCGUAGGCGGUCGGAUAAGUUAGGGGUGAAAUCCCGAGGCUCAACUUCGGAAUUGCCUCUGAUACUGUUCGGCUAGAGAGUAGUUGCGGUAGGCGGAAUGUAUGGUGUAGCGGUGAAAUGCUUAGAGAUCAUACAGAACACCGAUUGCGAAGGCAGCUUACCAAGCUACGUCUGACGUUGAGGCACGAAAGCGUGGGGAGCAAACAGGAUUAGAUACCCGUGUAGUC
rnacentral:rRNA from 1 species